AAAAUUUUAUGUUGAAGGCAGAUAAAUUUGCCUUGUUGUGUGGUUCUAGUAUUUUCGUAUCACUGGGCUCUGUUUUGCGAUUACGCGAGCGUUCGAGAAUUUGAUGCCCCCAGCGGACUAACGCACGAAGUAGCACUGUAUCGCAUAUUUUACUUGAAUACUCGUUUUACAGCGUUCAUUGGUUAGCCGUGCCGCCCAUGGGGACAUGCUGUUGUGCGCAUGUGUCACGAUAAAAUUUUGUGCCGCAGAGCGUGCGAUCGAGGUCAUCAGACCACAUAAUUCUGGACCAUAGAUAUAAAGGAAGCAGCUUCUCACAGGAAAAAUGUUUGGUAACCAGAACCCUUUCGGGACCACCACGGGAUUUGGCACAGGGGGAACCUUCGGCUCGACGCAGCCAACGGCAUUCGGUCAAACGGGCAGUGCGUUUGGAACCUCUGCCUUUGGUGCCACAACGACACCCAGCACAGGUGGUGGCCUCUUUGGAGGCACAACAACACAGACUGGGAGCCUCUUUGGAAGCACAGGAUCCAGUUUUGGCCAGCCUUCCACGUCUACGACGCCAGGCUUUGGUUUCGGAGCACCUGCAACUGGCUCGUCCAUGUUUGGAACGAUGAACCAGCAGCCGGCAGCGAGCACGGGAAUCUUUGGCGCCUCUUCCUCCUCAUUCGGGCAGCCCCGACCGCAGUUUGGCAGCUCCUUCUCCACCACUACGCCUGCCACUGGCACUAGCCUCUUUGGCCAACCUCAAAGCACAGGCCUGUUUGGCCAAACUGCUGGAAGUUCUCUUUUUGGAUCAACAGCGUUUGGCACUGGCUCUGUGACCACAGGCACCACAAUAAAGUUCAAGCCACCAACGGGCACUGACACAAUGAUGAAGAAUGGCGUCUCCAGCACCAUCAGCACAUCUCACCAGUGCAUCACAUGCAUGAAGGAGUACGAGAACAAGAGCUUAGAGGAGCUGCGCCUGGAGGAUUAUGCUGCCAACAGAAAAGGUGGUGGCCAGGCGGGCAUGGUAGGUUUCGGGGCAACCACUCAAUCGAGCUCCAUCUUCAGCACUCCUGCCACUCAGCAGUCAACGUUCAAUUUUGGUGCCACCCAAAACAAGCCGCUCUUCGGCACUUCCACUACUGGUAGUUUUGCACCUACUGGUGGCUCACUAUUUGGGCAGGCAACAACGCAGAGUCAAAAUGUGUUUGGUAAGCCAACUGGCUUUGGUAUGACAACACCAGCCUCCACCUCUGCUUUUGGAACCAGCACUGCAUUCGGGACCACUGGAACCUCUGUGUUUGGUCAGCCACAGCAAAAGUCCCUGUUUGGCCAGCCAGCAGGCACAACACUCUUUGGGAGCACAACUGCUACAACACAGCCUUCCACAGGAUUCGGCACAGGUUUUGGCACUACGUUUGGUGCUACAACGCAGCCGAGUGCUUUCGGUGUAAGGCCAACAUUUGGUGCAGCCACCACAUCUGCACCUUCCGGCUUUGGAUUUGGCAGCACAGCCAACACAGGGACAUCAUUGUUUGGGGCCAAGCAGCCAUCGCAGUUUUCCUUUGGGGCAACCACGCCAGCGUUUGGGGCAACCAACACAACAGGCUUUGGAACAUCGACUGGCAGCCUCUUUGGUGCAACCAAGACGACGCCAUCCUUUGGCACUGGCAGCACUCCUGCGUUUGGCAGCACGGGCUUUGGCAGCACUCCUGCAUUUGGCACAGCUGGAACAAAUACUACAGGGGGACUGUUUGGUUCAACCACUGCGGCAAAGCCCACAGGCUUCAACUUUGGAGGCACGACUACUACUACACCUUUCACAGGCUUCGGCCAAACAGGUGUUGGGACUGGUUCUACUUUUGGCAGUACUGUACCAACCAUGGGAAGCACGGAUCCAAAUGCAGCAGCGAACCAGCUGCAGCAGCAGCAAACACAGCAGCUGCUCCAAUACCUGUCAACCAAUCCGUAUGGAGACAACCCACUGUUCAGGAAUGUGCUCAAGGAGACCAACAAACGUGAAGAGUUGCUGAAGCCCACCAAUCCAGCAGCGCAGCAGGCGUUGCUCGCCUCUCACUACAAAGUGUCCCCCGUGCCAGCACCCAAGUUACGGCCAAAACCGGUUGGAGCACAGGCAGGCAAGACAUCAUCACUUUUUGAAGGGCUAGAAGAUGAAGAAGACAUCAUUGAGCCAUUUACUCCUCGCCAAAGUGUCAAGACACUGAUAAUCAAACCAAAGGACACUCCGGACAAGCUUAGUGCCAGCACUCUCUUAGCUUCCCCACCACUUGCAACCAACCGUUCGUCCACACCGAUCACUCAGUCAUCCAGUAGUCCAUCCUCUAGGACUCCGUUGGCUGUUCCUGCUAAGGACAGUGGUCUUGUGGACGGCGCGAGUGUCUACCUGGCCAGCAGUGAGCCUAGCUUCACAGCACCAACAGUGCAGGUUGAAAAACCUGUAAGCAAUCUGCAAAGCUUGGAUGAUGCAGUGUCAUCCCUUGAGGUUCGUGGCCGCAAGUUGCGCUUCAUGUCCAGCUCGGAAUCCCUGGACGACUCUUCUCAGGCUGAUCCAGCACCUGACCCUGCGAAACCCCCCCAUCCUGCAGGCAUUGUGCUCACUCGGCCAGGGUACUUCACCGUUCCUUCUAUGGACGAGUUAGCAUCUAUGGUGGGCCCUGACGGGCACUGCAUCGUGGAAAAUUUUUGUGUGGCACGGGAGGGCUAUGGCAAUGUCUACUUUUCUGGCCGCAUGGACGUUGCACGACUCAACCUUGAUGAAAUUGUGCACUUUCGUCGCAUGGAGAUCACAGUGUACCCUGAUGAUGACGAAAAGCCACCUGUGGGCGAAGGCCUGAACCGUAAAGCACAGGUUACUCUCGACAAAGUGUGGCCAAUCAACAAAGUCACUCGAGAAUCAAUCACAGAUCCGGAGAAGCUCAAGGCACUUGGUUAUCAAGAAAAAUUGGAGAGGACCACUGCCAAAAUUGGGGGUCGUUUUCUGGAGUACAGGCCGGAGACAGGUUCUUGGGUUUUCGAGGUGAAGCACUUUUCCAAAUAUGGUUUGGACGAAUCUGACAACGAAGUUGAUGAGGCCGCUACCCAGACAGCUACGUCAGCAAAGUUGCCACAGCAAGCAGCUGCCACAAAACCUGCUGAUGGUGCUGUAGACAAAAUCACUCAGAAACCUCCAUCGGCGCCUGGAUCCUCUGCUACUUUCAUGGCCUGCCGAGAAUCUGACACUGCAGCGGGAUAUCGUUCUGAUGAUGAUGAUAUGGAGGACAUGGAGCCGUCAUCUGCUGGAACAGCAGACAGGCCUGGCAGUGAUGACGCACUAUCACCUGGGGCUGAUGCUGCAAGCUACAGGCCAGUGACUCAGCAGCUAGCAGAAGCACUUGGCCUGAGUCCAGACGCAGUGCAGAGCAUGAAGGAGUCCUUCUUCGGCCGAGAAGAUGAGGACGAUGAUGAUCACGAGCUAGCCAUCACUCAUCCACGCCUUCAGAGAGCUCUGGUGAGCGGUGGUUCCUACCAGAGCCCCAUUCACUUCGAUCGUACCAGAUCGUUGUCGUCCACGCCCACACAAUCCAGAGCAUCCCGUUGUCGUGCUGCUGCGGCUGCCUAUUCCCAACCAAAUGUGAGCCAGGCCUUCUCAGAGUUCCUCCCUUCUCACGUCCUUUCUGGUGCCGCUCCACUGCCAGGAGAUGCAAGCCAGUGCCCCACAGGCAUUGUGAGAACAGCUCACAGUGACGUCCUCACAUCUGCGUUCAGCAGUCCAGGCUGUGUGCCAGCUGCUGAGCAGAUGCUUCGGAAUCGCACACUUGCAGAGCCCAUGGUGAUUCCCAUCGACGUGGAACCUGUGCCCCUGGCUCAAUCUUUGUCCUACGAGUGCCAGCAUAUGCUGGCGGAUGCCGCUUGCGUGGCUGGCUAUCGUGCUCGGUGUGGCUGGGGACCACGUUGGACGCUGACUCACGUGGGCAAAGCAUUAAACAGAAUUCUCGAUGAUGAACCCAUGGAGACGGCAGGGCACGUGGGCAUUUUUGCGGGACAGCGCUAUCCGAAGCCAUCCCCUUCAUUUUCCAUCUCCGUGGAAAGAGUGGCUGUUGACUUGCACACAUUGAGACCAGAUGAUAUUCAAAAGAAAAACGUGGUAGCCAUGUUGGAAAUCCAACUGGUACAUUCGUGCUGUUCACUGGAAGGGGGCAGCCCUAUCUUUGCACCGAACCCUAGUGUGGACUGCUUGCAUGACCAGGAUGCCCUUGUUGCAAGGCUUGCAACUGAAAUGGGUCCUGGUCAUGCCGACGCUGCCAUGAUGCGGCAGUUUCACACCAUUCUUGGUCUCUGUGUUGCCCUGUGGGGUCGCGCACCUGGUUGCGACCCUGAAAGUGACGACGUCACCAGGUACUCCUAUGCAAAGCGUCGCAAGGAGGCACUCUCAGACUGGCUUGUGGAUACUACGAAAUCUAUCAUUGAAGCUGAAAUAACAGACCAUCAGAGAAAAGAGGACAGCGAACUGCUGGUGAUGCUGAGCUAUCUGAGUGGUCGUGACAUGUCCAAGGCGUGUGCAGUGGCUCAACGGUCUCGAGACUACCGUUUGUGUCUGUUGCUGGCUCAAAAUGGUUCCAACCCAGUCAGCCGCCACAUGCUGCAGAAACAACUGGACCACUGGAAGAAGUUCAAGCAAGAUCGAUACAUCAAUCCAGAACGACUCCGGGUCUAUGCCCUAUUGGCUGGACUGAUGGUUUGGCCAACUUCAGACCCAGAUGAAACAAUUAACUGCUGUGCUGACCUCGACUGGAAAAGGGCUCUGGCACUACAUCUUUGGUACUACUGUGCUCCAACAUGCAAUAUCAGCGAUGCUGUGGCUGCAUAUGAAGCUGCGUUUGAGAGUGACCAACCACUGCGGCCCUACUGCGCGGCCCCCAUACCCGCCUUGUCAUAAAGAUGAUGUAGGUGAGGAGCCGUAUGUGUUGGACCCUGAAGCACCGUUGGACACAUGCUUUCUGCUACUGAAGCUGUACUGUGAUCAGUCCCAGAGGUUGGACCGGCUGCUGGCCCCAGUGUCCUCUGUGUCUUCUCAACUGGACUUCAGGAUUAGCUGGCUGCUGCACAAGCUGCUGCAGUCCUUUGGCUUUGGCCAUCUGUCCGCAACUGCAGCCGAGACCUUGCACACAAGCUUUGCAGCACAGCUCGAGUCGUGGGGCCUGUGGCCUUGGGCAGUAUUUGCUCUGCUGCACUUGGAGGAUGCCACGGGGCGCCAAAAAGCCGUCACUGAGCUUCUUGUGCGACACGCGUCAGGUUCACUCAGGGGCUCUGAUCCUGAGACUGGCCUCACCGAAGAUGAGA
rnacentral:misc_RNA from 1 species